rnacentral:rRNA from 1 species
UACGUAGGGGCGAGCGUUGUCCGGAAUCAUUGGGCGUAAAGCGCGUGUAGGCGGCCGACCAAGUCCGGUGUGAAAGCUCAGGGCUCAACCCUGAGUCUGCACUGGAAACUGGCCGGCUUGAGUCCGGAAGAGGAGACUGGAAUUCCUGGUGUAGCGGUGAAAUGCGCAGAUAUCAGGAAGAACACCGGUGGCGAAGGCGGGUCUCUGGGACGGUACUGACGCUGAGACGCGAAAGCGUGGGGAGCAAACAGGAUUAGAUACCCCGGUAGU